CAAGAUAUAGCUUAAAUAAAGCACCUAGUUUACACCUAGAAGAUUUCACACGCCACGAAUAUCUUGA
rnacentral:tRNA from 14 species